AACGAACGCUGGCGGCAUGCCUAACACAUGCAAGUCGAACGAGAUCUUCGGGUCUAGUGGCGCACGGGUGCGUAACGCGUGGGAAUCUGCCCUUUGGUUCGGAAUAACAGUUGGAGACGACUGCUAAUACCGGAUGAUGACGAAAGUCCAAAGAUUUAUCGCCAGAGGAUGAGCCCGCGUAGGAUUAGCUAGUUGGUGUGGUAAAGGCGCACCAAGGCGACGAUCCUUAGCUGAUCUGAGAGGAUGAUCAGCCACACUGGGACUGAGACACGGCCCAGACUCCUACGGGAGGCAGCAGUGGGGGAUAUUGGACAAUGGGCGAAAGCCUGAUCCAGCAAUGCCGCGUGAGUGAUGAAGGCCUUAGGGUUGUAAAGCUCUUUUACCCGGGAUGAUAAUGACAGUACCGGGAGAAUAAGCUCCGGCUAACUCCGUGCCAGCCGCCGCCGUAA
rnacentral:rRNA from 1 species